rnacentral:tRNA from 1 species
UCCCUGGUGGCUCAGAUGGUAAAGCAUCUGCCUGCAAUGUGGAAGACCCAGGUGUGAUCUCUGGGUAGGGAA